AGAGUUUGAUCUGGCUCAGGACGAACGCUGGCGGCGUGCUUAACACAUGCAAGUCGAACGAUGAAGCCCUUCGGGGUGGAUUAGUGGCGAACGGGUGAGUAACACGUGGGCAAUCUGCCCUUCACUCUGGGACAAGCCCUGGAAACGGGGCCUAAUACCGGAUAACACUUCCAUUCGCAUGGGUGGAGGUUAAAAGCUCCGGCGGUGAAGGAUGAGCCCGCGGCCUAUCAGCUUGUUGGUGAGGUAAUGGCUCACCAAGGCGACGACGGGUAGCCGGCCUGAGAGGGCGACCGGCCACACUGGGACUGAGACACGGCCCAGACUCCUACGGGAGGCAGCAGUGGGGAAUAUUGCACAAUGGGCGAAAGCCUGAUGCAGCGACGCCGCGUGAGGGAUGACGGCCUUCGGGUUGUAAACCUCUUUCAGCAGGGAAGAAGCGAAAGUGACGGUACCUGCAGAAGAAGCGCCGGCUAACUACGUGCCAGCAGCCGCGGUA
rnacentral:rRNA from 1 species